UCUGGAGGAGCCUUAUCUCUAUUGGGAAUGUUCUUUCUCUCGCUUUGGAUCAUAUCCAUGGUAAUAUUUUCCUGUGGUGAUGAUGAUGACGAUCCCCGCCGCCGCAGAGGCGGAAGAUCUGGCCUUAGUGGACUUGGCGGAGACGGUGGUGGUGCAGAUGGUGGCGGCGGCGGAGGUGGUGGUGGCUUCGGUGGUGGCUAGAGCAAUAUAACAGAAACAAUCAAGUUAUUUUCUCCCUUGAUGGUGUUGGUUACAUAGAUCAAAGAAUGUUUUUAUCACUGGAACGGUUCACGGAUGUUGAUAUGUGAUCACUUAAAGCCACCAGAUCCAUACAACCAAAUUGUUGAGUCACACUUACGCGAGAUUGGAUUUUAUUAUGUUUCCCAGAUUGGAGUUAUCCAAUGUCAGUCAGCAAUUAUUAAUGCUCUGAUUGAGAGAUGGCGGCCUGAGACUCACACAUUUCAUUUUCUGGUUGGUGAGUGUGCCGUGACCUUGGAGGAUGUGGUGAUAAUUAUCGGUCUGCCGACAAACGGUCUUCCGGUUACAAGACCGACCAUGAGUAGUUUUGAGGCAUUGGAGGCCGAGUGCUUGCACUAGUUUAGGGUUGCACCGAGGAAGACGGACUGUAGAGGAAGCUUUAUAAAAUUAACGUGGUUUAGGGGUUUGAAAGAUCGUAUAGUGUUGAAUGAUGAUGUUCACAUUCAGAUGUAUGUAAAGUGUCACAUAAUGUUGUUAUUCGGGACAAUUCUGUUUGGAGAUAAGUCGGGUGCAGCGGUGCAUUGGAAAUUUCUGCCUUUGCUCCGUAACUUCGGUGGGAUCAUACAGUUUAGUUGGGGUUCGGCAUACCUGGCACACUUGUAUAGAUCAUUGUGUAGGGCAACUCGUGUCGACUGCAAGAAAAUAAACGGUCUGCUGACACUGUUACUUACUUGGGCUUGGAUCCGGCUACCAUUUCUAGCAUCGACUCCUGGCAAUCCCUGAGCGUUUUUUAUUGCAAACAGGAGGUUGUUGGAUGAUCUACAAGAAGGACAUGCUUAUGGCAUUGGAGACAUUGACCCAGACGUGAUUCCUUUAGACAUCCGUCAACCAUAUUGUGUACAUUUAGCAUAGAAUGUUGUCGGUUCCGACUCAUAUACCCGAUAGUCUACACCUCUACGGAUGGUAUAAUCUUUCAUUGCCUUGAUUACUGCCUCCCUUGAACUGAAUUCCAUCCCCACCGUGAACUCACUAUCCGCCACAACAGGAAGCA